UACGUAGGGGGCAAGCGUUGUCCGGAAUCAUUGGGCGUAAAGAGCGUGUAGGCGGCCCGGUAAGUCCGCUGUGAAAGUCCAGGGCUCAACCCUGGAAUGCCGGUGGAUACUGUCGGGCUCGAGUCCGGAAGAGGCGAGUGGAAUUCCUGGUGUAGCGGUGAAAUGCGCAGAUAUCAGGAGGAACACCGAUUGCGAAGGCAGCUCGCUGGGACGGUACUGACGCUGAGACGCGAAAGCGUGGGGAGCAAACAGG
rnacentral:rRNA from 1 species